UGGAUACCUUUUCACAGAGCCUUUGGAGAGGAUCUACAUGACGCUUCUUAUUUCACUUACUAGAAGCAAACAAUGGAGGGGGGGGGAGCCAGAUGGUGAAAUAGAAACCUUCAGCAAUCAUCCCUCCACAAAGACACCCAAUUCAACAACCACCCACCCAAGAAAGCACCUUCAGAAGAACCAAAAAUCAGCAACAUGAUGGAACUGGAGAUCAUUAUUUUAAGUGAAACCUGAAAGGCACAGAAAGUCAGAUAUCUUAAAUUCUCACUCACAGGAUCCCAAGCCUGAACUGAAGUCAACCUCAAUAUAACUUGAAACCUGCAUGUGAUGACUAUGGUACAAAGAUUGAGAAAAAAACUCUCUAAUUCUAGCUUAUUGGGUGGAACAGAUAAUUCCCAAAGCUCAAGAAAAUGGGUUUCUGGCUCGAGAGAGAGACAAACACCAAUUGAGAUGGCAGCAAACUGGUGCUCUCAGUGAGUGGUCUGGUUUCAGUUAUAGUAGGAAGGGGAAGAAAUCCUUCAGAGAGGAUAAGGAUAACUCUACUGACUGUGAAGAAGUAGUUACAAAGGACCAGUAGAAGGGAAAAUGAAGAGGGAUGCAGGUAGACUCAUGAAAGUUCAGGCUUUGCUGGGAAGAUGGUGUGAUGGAGGAUCAGCAGGGAAGAGACCUAGUUUUGGAAGUCUCUUUGAGGAAUGUGGGCAUACUGCCUAAUAUCCGGAGGAAACUUUGGCUGAAGGGGUGGCUGACUCAGAAGCUGCAGAAUCUACAGCCUACAGGAACCUCCUACUCCGGCCCCGAGGAAAUGGCAAGAUCUAUAAUCUUUCACUAUUUUUAGCUGCAUCAGCCUCAAAGUAAAAUUAUGUAAACAAUGUGAAGAAAAUCAC